CUGGGCGUAAAGCGCGCGCAGGCGGCUAUUUAAGUUGGAUGUGAAAGCCUACAGCUCAACUGUAGAACUGCAUCCAAAACUAUUUAGCUAGAGUGUGGGAGAGGAAGAUGGAAUUAGUUGUGUAGGGGUAAAAUCCGUAGAGAUAACUAGGAAUACCAAAAGCGAAGGCAAUCUUCUGGAACACUACUGACGCUGAGGCGCGAAGGCGUGGGGAGCAAACAGGAUUAGAUACCCUGGUAGUCCACGCAGUAAACGAUGAAUGUUAGUCGUCGGGUAGCUAGUCUAUUCGGUGAUGCAGCUAACGCAUUAAACAUUCCGCCUGGGGAGUACGGUCGCAAGAUUAAAACUCAAAGGAAUAGACGGGGACCCGCACAAGUGGUGGAGCAUGUGGUUUAAUUCGAAGAUACGCGAAGAACCUUACCUAGCCUUGACAUAUUUUAGAACUCCGCAGAGAUGUAGAGGUGCCUUCGGGAGCUAAUAUACAGGUGCUGCACGGCUGUCGUCAGCUCGUGUCGUGAGAUGUUGGGUUAAGUCCCGCAACGAGCGCAACCCUCGUCACUAGUUACUAACGGUUCGGCCGAGGACUCUAGUGAGACUGCCUUCGCAAGGAGGAGGAAGGUGAGGACGACGUCAAGUCAUCAUGGCCCUUACGGCUAGGGCAACACACGUGCUACAAUGGCCAGGACAAUGAGAAGCGAUACCGCGAGGUGGAGCAAAUCUAUAAACCUGGUCUCAGUUCGGAUUGUAGUCUGC
rnacentral:rRNA from 1 species